rnacentral:rRNA from 1 species
CAGGCUUAACACAUGCAAGUCGAGGGGCAUCAGGAAGAAAGCUUGCUUUCUUUGCUGGCGACCGGCGCACGGGUGAGUAACACGUAUCCAACCUGCCCUUUACUCGGGGAUAGCCUUUCGAAAGAAAGAUUAAUACCCGAUGGCAUAAUGAUUCCGCAUGGUUUCAUUAUUAAAGGAUUCCGGUAAAGGAUGGGGAUGCGUUCCAUUAGGUUGUUGGUGAGGUAACGGCUCACCAAGCCUUCGAUGGAUAGGGGUUCUGAGAGGAAGGUCCCCCACAUUGGAACUGAGACACGGUCCAAACUCCUACGGGAGGCAGCAGUGAGGAAUAUUGGUCAAUGGGCGCUAGCCUGAACCAGCCAAGUAGCGUGAAGGAUGAAGGCUCUAUGGGUCGUAAACUUCUUUUAUAUAAGAAUAAAGUGCAGUAUGUAUACUGUUUUGUAUGUAUUAUAUGAAUAAGGAUCGGCUAACUCCGUGCCAGCAGCCGCGGUAAUACGGAGGAUCCGAGCGUUAUCCGGAUUUAUUGGGUUUAAAGGGAGCGUAGGUGGACUGGUAAGUCAGUUGUGAAAGUUUGCGGCUCAACCGUAAAAUUGCAGUUGAUACUGUCAGUCUUGAGUACAGUAGAGGUGGGCGGAAUUCGUGGUGUAGCGGUGAAAUGCUUAGAUAUCACGAAGAACUCCGAUUGCGAAAGCAGCUCACUGGACUGCAACUGACACUGAUGCUCGAAAGUGUGGGUAUCAAACAGGAUUAGAUACCCUGGUAGUCCACACAGUAAACGAUGAAUACUCGCUGUUUGCGAUAUACAGUAAGCGGCCAAGCGAAAGCAUUAAGUAUUCCACCUGGGGAGUACGCCGGCAACGGUGAAACUCAAAGGAAUUGACGGGGGCCCGCACAAGCGGAGGAACAUGUGGUUUAAUUCGAUGAUACGCGAGGAACCUUACCCGGGCUUAAAUUGCAGUGGAAUGAUGUGGAAACAUGUCAGUGAGCAAUCACCGCUGUGAAGGUGCUGCAUGGUUGUCGUCAGCUCGUGCCGUGAGGUGUCGGCUUAAGUGCCAUAACGAGCGCAACCCUUAUCUUUAGUUACUAACAGGUUAUGCUGAGGACUCUAGAGAGACUGCCGUCGUAAGAUGUGAGGAAGGUGGGGAUGACGUCAAAUCAGCACGGCCCUUACGUCCGGGGCUACACACGUGUUACAAUGGGGGGUACAGAAGGCAGCUAGCGGGUGACCGUAUGCUAAUCCCAAAAGCCUCUCUCAGUUCGGAUCGAAGUCUGCAACCCGACUUCGUGAAGCUGGAUUCGCUAGUAAUCGCGCAUCAGCCACGGCGCGGUGAAUACGUUCCCGGGCCUUGUACACACCGCCCGUCAAGCCAUGGGAGCCGGGGGUACCUGAAGUACGUAACCGCAAGGAUCGUCCUAGGGUAAAACUGGUGACUGGGGCUAAGUCAUAACA